rnacentral:ncRNA from 1 species
ACCGCGAAUUUAAGCAUAUUAGUCAGCGGAGGAAAAGAAACUAACGAGGAUUCCCUCAGUAACGGCGAGUGAAGAGGGAAGAGCCCAGCGCCGAAUCCCGCCCCGCGGUGGGCGCGGAGGUGUGGCGUACGGAAGCCCCAUCCCCGGGCGCCGCUCUCGGGGGGCCCAAGUCCUUCUGAUCGAGGCCCAGCCCGCGGACGGUGUGAGGCCGGUAGCGCCCCCGGCGCGCCGGGCCCGGGGCUUCUUCGGAGUCGGGUUGCUUGGAAAUGCAGCCCAAAGCGGUGGUUAACUCCAUCUAAGGCUAAAUACCGGCACGAGACCGAUAGCCAACAAGUACCGUAAGG